GAAUAAGAAGCGAAGUUUUGCAUUCGGUUUCGACCCGAUUUCUGGUCUAUCUGGCCCUUAUUCU
rnacentral:tRNA from 1 species